rnacentral:rRNA from 1 species
UACAGAGGUCUCAAGCGUUGUUCGGAUUCAUUGGGCGUAAAGGGUGCGUAGGUGGCGCGGUAAGUCGGGUGUGAAACCUCGGAGCUUAACUCCGAAAUUGCAUUCGAUACUGCCGUGCUCGAGGACUGGAGAGGAGACUGGAAUUCAUGGUGUAGCAGUGAAAUGCGUAGAGAUCAUGAGGAAGACCAGUGGCGAAGGCGGGUCUCUGGACAGUUCCUGACACUGAGGCACGAAGGCCAGGGGAGCAAACGGG